rnacentral:rRNA from 1 species
AUGGAAUCCUUCCUCCUUGAGUACGCCAUGAUGGCCGGCAACAACGUCAAGGCGCAGCGCGACCGCCUGCUGCAGCUCCAGCGCCGCCUGCAGCGCCUCCAGGCCGCCACCGCUGAAGACCACAACGCCAAGCUCGGGGUGCUCGCCAUGGACCUCUUCAAGGUCUACUACAUCGGCCUGGAGUACGGCGCCCGCACGCUCACCACCUGUAUCCGCUUCGCUCGCCAGAAAGGCGUUCUCCUCUCCCCGCCCACCAUGAAUUUCGCCGUCAUGAACGACGAGCAGCUCCACGACGCGCUGCUCGCGCAGCAGUUCCCGGCCCGCCCCACCACCCACACCCAGGCCAUCGACCGCGCCAUGGCCGCCCUCCUGGCCAUCAAGCUGUUGGAGGAGCACCUCCUCCCGCGCUGCGUCGAGUGCCUUGUCGGCGGCGAGGCCCCCGUCCCCGGCAGGCCCCGCGACCCAUCUCCCGACCCGGUCGCCGCCGACACCACCGAGGGCCUCGCCAACGCCGACCUCUCCGACGACCCGGACGCCACCGCCAAGACCGGAAGCAAGCCCCGUCACGCAGCCAGAGGAGGCGGCGGCGGCGAGGUGGAGAAGGCGCUGGACUACAUGUACCGCGCAAACAGGAUGGUGAGCCUCGCCGUGAAGCACAUCGACGUCUCCGUCGCCGUCCUCUCCCGCUUCCUCGACCCCAAGAAGCUCGCCAGCCUCACCGACUACUGCGACGACCACAUCUACAUCUCCGAGGAGGGACCCUAUCCAUCAUCCGAUUCCGAUUGA